UCAGAAAAAGUUUGAAAUUAAACACUAACUUUGGGAGUUUGAAAUCGAUGCUUUUAUCGUUUCUGAA
rnacentral:tRNA from 1 species